UACGAAGGGGGCUAGCGUUGCUCGGAAUCACUGGGCGUAAAGGGUGCGUAGGCGGGUUUUUAAGUCAGGGGUGAAAUCCUGGAGCUCAACUCCAGAACUGCCUUUGAUACUGAAGAUCUUGAGUCCGGGAGAGGUGAGUGGAACUGCGAGUGUAGAGGUGAAAUUCGUAGAUAUUCGCAAGAACACCAGUAGCGAAGGCGGCUCACUGGCCCGGUAUUGACGCUGAGGCACGAAAGCGUGGGGAGCAAACAGG
rnacentral:rRNA from 1 species